rnacentral:rRNA from 1 species
GACGAACGCUGGCGGCGUGCCUAACACAUGCAAGUCGAACGGAUAGAUACGAGAGCUUGCCCUUGUAAAUCUUAGUGGCACACGGGUGAGUAACGCGUAAACAACCUGCCCAACGGAUGGGGACAACAGACGGAAACGACUGCUAAUACCCAAUAGACUCCGGUCUCUCAUGAAACCGAUAGGAUAGGUGGCCUCUCGAAGAAGCUACCGCCGCAGGAGGGGUUUGCGUUUGAUUAGUUAGUUGGUGGGGUAACGGCCUACCAAGACGAGGAUCAAUAGCCGGUCUGAGAGGAUGAACGGCAACACUGGAACUGAGACACGGUCCAGACUCCUACGGGAGGCAGCAGUGAGGAAUCUUCCGAAAUGGAAGAAAGUCUGAAGGAGCAACACCGCGUGAGUGAAGAAGGCAUUCAGGUUGUAAAGCUCUGUUAUUCGGGAAGAACGAGUCGUAUGUAAAUAAGGAACGGAAGUGACGGUACCGAAAGAGAAAGCCACGGCUAACUACGUG